AGCAGCCGCGGUAAUUCCAGCUCCAAUAGCGUAUAUUAAAGUUGUUGCAGUUAAAAAGCUCGUAGUUGAACUUCGGGGUCUACCCAUUGGUCAGGCUUAAUUGUCUGCACUGGUGAGAUGGAUCUCUACCUUCUGAGGAACUUUCAUGCCAUUUAUUUGGUGUGGUUGGAAAUCAGGACUGUUACUUUGAAAAAUUAGAGUGUUUAAAGCAGACUAUCGUCUGAAUACAUUAGCAUGGAAUAAUGAAAUAGGACGGACUGAUUCUAUUUCGUUGGUUUCUAGGAUCACCGUAAUGAUUAAUAGGGAUAGUUGGGGGCAUUAGUAUUCAAUUGUCAGAGGUGAAAUUCUUGGAUUUAUUGAAGACUAACUACUGCGAAAGCAUUUGCCAAGGAUGUUUUCAUUAAUCAAGACGAAAGUUAGGGGAUCGAAGACGAUCAGAUACCGUCGUAGUCUUAACCAUAAACCUAUGCCGACUAGGGAUCGGAUGAUGUAAUUUUUAANGACU
rnacentral:rRNA from 1 species